UACGUAGGGACCGAGCGUUGUCCGGAUUUAUUGGGCGUAAAGAGCUCGUAGGCGGCCGUCCACGUCGGAUGUGAAAGCUCGGGGCUCAACCCUGAGAGGUCAUUCGAUACGGGACGGCUUGAGGCAGCUAGGGGAGAUUGGAAUUCCUGGUGUAGCGGUGAAAUGCGCAGAUAUCAGGAGGAACACCGGUGGCGAAGGCGGAUCUCUGGGGCUGUUCUGACGCUGAGGAGCGAAAGCUGGGGGAGCGAACAGG
rnacentral:rRNA from 1 species